CCUACGGGGGGCUGCAGUGGGGAAUAUUGGACAAUGGGCGAAAGCCUGAUCCAGCCAUGCCGCGUGUGUGAAGAAGGCCUUCGGGUUGUAAAGCACUUUCAGUGGGGAAGAAAGCCUUGGGGCUAAUACCCUCGAGGAAGGACAUCACCCACAGAAGAAGCACCGGCUAACUCCGUGCCAGCAGCCGCGGUAAUACGGAGGGUGCGAGCGUUAAUCGGAAUUACUGGGCGUAAAGCGCGCGUAGGCGGUCUGAUAAGCCGGUUGUGAAAGCCCCGGGCUCAACCUGGGAACGGCAUCCGGAACUGUCAGGCUAGAGUGCAGGAGAGGAAGGUAGAAUUCCCGGUGUAGCGGUGAAAUGCGUAGAGAUCGGGAGGAAUACCAGUGGCGAAGGCGGCCUUCUGGACUGACACUGACGCUGAGGUGCGAAAGCGUGGGUAGCAAACAGGAUUAGCUACCCGGGUAGUC
rnacentral:rRNA from 1 species